AUGAUGAUGGAAAACGAACAACUGUCAGAUGAGACACAACCUUCAACAGCAACAGAUGGCAAACUGGAAAACAUGGAUGAGCAAAAACAACGGAUGACAGAAAUAAUCGCUGACAUUAAAAACCUCUUGAAGGAUGCAGAAGUACAAAGCAGAGAGAAACUAACAGACGGACAUCUACAUUUGACCUUUUGGAAACCCAACUUUGCCAAAUUCAGGAAAACAUGGAAAAUACUUUUAAUGAACUUAAAGAAUAUUCAAUACAAGUCCAAUCUGAAAAAUCUCAGAUUGAAACAAUCAAAAUUAGGAUGGAAGUAGAUAGAUUAGACAUAGAGAGAAACAGGAAACUAAUUGAUACUGAAAUGGAUGCACUGAAGAAUACAAGAAAGACUAUUGAAGGUGAAAUGAAAGAGUUAGACAACAAGUUACAAAGAGUAAAGAGAGAAAUCAGAGAGAUGGAAGUGGUGAGCAGGGAAGUCCAAAUGAAGAAAAUCGAUCUGGAGAAGAUGAUAAGAAGGAAGGAAGAGAAAAGAAGACACAUCCAUUAAGACUGAGGAAGCAAGAAAAACUGUGCAAGACACAGAGGAAGAACAAAAGAAGACAAGAGAGGAAAGUCUGCCGCGGUUCCUGCACGUUUGUGAUCAAUGUAAAUCCAAGCAAAUGAAAUGGGUUUAUUUUCAGGCAAAGAAAAAGAGACGAGAGCUCGACUGUCGGUUAGAGAAGACAAUAAGACAGAGAGACGAGUUAGAAAUCACAAAGAUCCAAAUACAAAAACAAAAGAAGACGUUGAAAGACAAAACAAGACGUCAUGACUUCAGUCCUUACGAUGGCCAAAGUGAAGGAUAACAUGGAAAAUGGAUAUGAAGAAAUCAGAAACCUCAUGGAGGACGUGCUCAGAAUCAAAUCGAGUAUGGCUGACUACAGCAGAGAAUUAAAGAAAUACCAGGAGACUUUUGCCUGCAUGAAAGAUCAAGUCAACUCAUGGAAAAUGAGAACGGCCUCAGCUGGUAAGAUUUUUUCAGGAGAUACUUUUGAACUUGAAGAGCAUCAGAAAGAAGCAAAGCCAAACAUUAAAAUAGAAGCUCCAGAAGACACAAGUGAAGCAAAAACCUUAAUUUUGCUGCAGCCUCGUGUGAUGGUGGAGGAUCGGGAUAAAGUUAAAGAAAGUUUAGGACACCAGCACACUCCUAUCGAGACACAAAUCCAGGACCAAACGUUACCAGUUAAAGAUGAAGCUCAAUUUUUGAUGGAUUCAUCUCAGAAGGUUAAUUUGGAAAGACAGAUUUCUGAGCUUAAGGGGCAAGAUGCGGCAGCACAAAGGCUGGAGUUGGAAAUUCACCGAACUGUAGAAGUCAUCAAAACAUUUCUUUUAGAAAUUGGGUACCAAGUUACAGAAACAAACACAAAUGAACAAUAUAAAAAGGAAGAUGGUGAAGCUGAAAGAGUUUUGGACAAACUAAAACAGUUUCAAGAGCUUUUGCAAAUUGUCAAAACAGCAAUAGAGCAAAGUAAACUGUGUGUCAAAAAAGAUACAAAGAGCAUGAAAUUUGCUGUGGAAAAGAGAAGAAGAGAACUGGAUCAAAAGCUAGAGCAAAUUUUAAGGCAGAGAGAUGAAUUGGAAAUUUUAAAAAUGAAAGUCCAGAGAGAAUCCCUUGAAACUAAAAACAAUUUAGAGAAAAUGACAAGUUGUUGGAGCUCCAUGACAAAAAUGAUCACAAAGUUCAGAGAGAAAAAUGAAAAAAUAAAAAUAAGGAUGGAGAAGACAGAAAUAAAAGUGAGACUGCUUAAUGAAAUGAACACUCCAACGGAAGCCACUCAACAACAAGACAUAGAAAAAAUGUGUCUUUUAAAAACAAAAUGCACCGCCGAGCUUGAAAGGAUUAGAACCAAGAUAAAAAAAUCAAGGGAAUCCAACUUUGAGAAAGAAAUGAGAGAUGGAAGAAUAAAUGAAAGAUUUGGAACAACUACUGAGAGAGAUGACCAAACAAGUAAGGCAAUAAGUAAACAAAGGGAGAAUGCAGAAGACCAAACAAUCACACUCACAUCACAGAAACUAGUGAGUGUCCUAAAACUGGCAGAAAGUUUGGAUCCAGAAACAGCAAAUAAUGUUUGGUCAAGUAAGUCAACAAAAAAUAAACAAAAGAUGCAGAAAGAAGAAUCUGACAACUGUACCCAGAUCCAAGCAGAACCUGUAGAAGGAAAAGUCUCAACAGAACUGUUUGCUGAAGAAUUUCAUAAAAUGAACAAACAGAUUGAAGACAAGAAACAGGAACUAAAUGGCCACUUCCAACAGAUAAGAAGAGAAAUUCAAGAACUUGAGAUUCUAAAGUCAGAGUUGCAAAUAAAGAGGAAAGAAAAUGAACAUGUACUCAGAAAACUUAUGAGACAAAGAGAGAAAAAUGAAAUAAUGUUAAAUAAAAUAAAACAGGAAAAGAUAUCAUUAAGUGAAGAGACUAGAAAGAAAAAAAGAGAAUUAGAUCAAAGGCAAGAAAAAAUCAUCAGAGAAAGGGAUGCAUUGGAAGUGUUCCACUUGAAGAUGAAUCGACUAAAGGAAGAGCUGGUCAUUCAGCAGCUUCAUGUCAAAGACAAAACUGCAGACCUGUAUGUACACAGUAAAGAUCUAAAACAAGAUUUGGAAAAGUCAGAUAAGAAAAGCAUUCAAUGGGAAAUUAAGGAAGAACAGUUAAGCACAGAUACUGCUGGUUUUAUUAAGAACCUUCAAAGGAUGAAAGAAAAGAUCCAAGAUCAUUUAGUAAAAAUUACGGAAGACAAAAACACCCUGGAAAAUCUCAAAAUGUGUUUAGACCAACAAAAAAAUGGACUAAAAACUUUUCAAGGGGAGACCCUUAAGUUGAGUGAUGAAGUGAUCAGAGUUAAAACUAAAAUAAAGACAGCCUCUAACAUAAUUGUCCCGGAGAAAGGAGAAAAAAUUGAUGAAAUGAUUAACAAGAAAAAUGAUCUCCAAAAGCAAGAACUUGAGGUUGCUCUGGAAAAAGUGAAAAGAGAAAGACAAGAAUUAGAGGUGCUGAUGACAGAUUUGGAGAUUAAGAAAAAAGAAAAUCAACGAAUUGUUCGAAAGAACAUCCAGAAGGAAAAAGAUUUUGAAAGGAUAUUGAAUGAAGUAAGAGAAGAAAAAGAUACUCUCAAAAGAGAAAAUAAAAGAAGAAAAAAAGAACUUGAUCUGAGAUUAGAGAGAAUUAUCAGAGAGAGAGACGAACUAGAGGUAAUGAAGAUCAGGUUUAAAAAAGAAAAGGAAGUGUUCACAGGUGGAAGGAUCGAUUUGGGUUUGACAGGAGUCUCACAAGUUCCAGGAGAAAUCCAGAAACACUGGACUUUAUUGCAAAGGUGUUCAAAAAAAUGUGUUGACAUGACGACAUACUAUGAAGGUCUUAUUCAGAUAAUUAAGGGUGUCAAACAACAAAUUAAUGUACAUGCUGACAUGAUCACAAAUUCCAGAGAAGAAACAAGUAAAAUCCAAAUAGAAAUGAAAAGGCAAGUAGAGAUGAUUCAGAGUUCAGUUAAGAGGAUUCAAGAAGAUAAAAGGUUUUGAAACAAGAUGAGAACACAAGAAAAGACUACAGCAAUGCUAAGACAGAAAAGAAGAUGACAAAAAAAUCAAAACAUGUGCCAAAGAGAAAGAGAAAGACAUAUACCUCAACUGAAUUACAUAAAUCUGAGACAAAAAUUGUUAAAAGUGAUCAGCAGAAAAACAGACAAAAUAAGUUCUGAAUUGGGGAGAAUGUCAAAUCCUUUGAAAAACUGAAACAAAACAUGACUCU
ensembl:lncRNA